rnacentral:rRNA from 1 species
GCAUGACUCUCGGCAACGGAUAUCUCGGCUCUCGCAUCGAUGAAGAACGUAGCGAAAUGCGAUACGUGGUGUGAAUUGCAGAAUCCCGUGAACCAUCGAGUUUUUGAACGCAAGUUGCGCCCGAGGGACCCUCCCGAGGGCACGCCUGCCUCAUGGGCGUUUAGAA